rnacentral:rRNA from 1 species
AUACCCUAUUAUUUUUAGUAUAAAAUAAUGUAGAUCAGAGUAGUUUUAGUUAAGUUCUUAAAACUUAAAGAAUUUGGCGGUAUUAUAAUCUAUUUAGAGGAAUCUGUUAUGUAAUCGAUAGUCCACGUUGAACCUUACUUAUAUUAUUUCUUGUAUAUCGCUGUUUAGUGAUUAUAUUUUGAAGUUAUAAUCUUAAUAAAUUAAUAAUUAAUAUUUCAAGUCAAGGUGCAGUUAUGUAUAAGAUGAAUAAUGGAUUACAAUAAAUAAAAUUUAAAUGGAUAUUUUUUUUGUAAGUUGAAUAUGGAAGGUGGAUUUAAUUGUAAUUUUUUAAAAGAUUUGUUUUGUGAUUUUAGCUCUAUAAUAUGUACACAUCNCCC